UGUCGCGUACACAGCUGUACACGACUGUUCACUAUUACGAGCAUAUAUAUGUUACCGUCAUUACCGACCAAUAAAUAUGUGUGUGUUUGAAAUACGUACCUUCAGUGUUGGCUAAUUCAUGUAUAAUGUGUACAGCGGUAUAUCUAAUAAUUUACGCAGGAACCCUAGACGAUCACGGGUAACAACUCAACAUUACAAUGGUGCACGUGACCACUGCGUAUCGAUAUAUCGUUGUAGCAUGAAUUAUGUGCUGUAUUUUAUGUAUUAUUAUUAACAUGUGUUUUCUUUGUGAGAUUGUGAGUCGACGAGCUGCAGUGACGAGAGCGCACGAUUCGAAGUCACUCAUAUCACUACCACCAUCGUUGUACGCAUUACAAUGGUACUAGGUGCCCAGCGCGUAUGUUACUAAAUGAAUUUCGUAACUGUUGAGAAUUGUUUAUCUGUUAUAUGUCAGUGCUAACCCAUGUGCCUUUGUCUUGAGAUAUCCAUCGACACACUCAAGGAACCCGACGUGUACAAUCUCAGCAGAUCGACAGCUUGUUCACUACUAUCGUCGCAUCAUUUUUCCCGACCAGCACCAUUAUGAUGGAGGGAUGCGGCAUCAACAGGUGGCCAACCGACGAAGAAGGCAUGAUAGUGUGGUGCGAGAGCGACAGUGACGAAACACCUCAUAUCGACAGUUACGUAGCUCGCCGCCCCAACCAGCAGCCGAGCUCACAAGGAGAGCCACCCCACAAACGAUUCUGGGCGAGUCAGUUUACCCUACCCGCAAACGGGGUGCCGACCGCCACGAGGACAACCGCAACCACGACCACGACGACCACGACGACAGCGAGGACAACGACGACGAGGAGGACUUUUACAACUGGGACCCGAAGCCCAGUGGAGCACCGCCAGUGCACACGAGCUACGACGACGACGACGACGAUCACGAGACGACGACCACCACAGCGACGACACGGACCCCACACCAACGGACCACGAGGACGACGGCGACUGCGCUAGAUUGUUUAUUAUUAUAUAACAGAAAAUAAUGUUUAAUAGAAUAUAAAGUAAAAUAAAAAUCCAUUGUUAGUUAAAGUAAAUUUUAGUUAAUUUAGUUAAGUAAAAUUAGGUGGAGGUGUUUU